GGUGAACGCUGGCGGCGUACCUAAUACAUGCAAGUCGAGCGAACGGACGAGAAGCUUGCUUCUCUGAUGUUAGCGGCGGACGGGUGAGUAACACGUGGAUAACCUACCUAUAAGACUGGGAUAACUUCGGGAAACCGGAGCUAAUACCGGAUAAUAUUUUGAACCGCAUGGUUCAAAAGUGAAAGACGGUCUUGCUGUCACUUAUAGAUGGAUCCGCGCUGCAUUAGCUAGUUGGUAAGGUAACGGCUUACCAAGGCAACGAUGCAUAGCCGACCUGAGAGGGUGAUCGGCCACACUGGAACUGAGACACGGUCCAGACUCCUACGGGAGGCAGCAGUAGGGAAUCUUCCGCAAUGGGCGAAAGCCUGACGGAGCAACGCCGCGUGAGUGAUGAAGGUCUUCGGAUCGUAAAACUCUGUUAUUAGGGAAGAACAUAUGUGUAAGUAACUGUGCACAUCUUGACGGUACCUAAUCAGAAAGCCACGGCUAACUACGUGCCAGCGGCCGCGGUAAUACGUAGGUGGCAAGCGUUAUCCGGAAUUAUUGGGCGUAAAGCGCGCGUAGGCGGUUUUUUAAGUCUGAUGUGAAAGCCCACGGCUCAACCGUGGAGGGUCAUUGGAAACUGGAAAACUUGAGUGCAGAAGAGGAAAGUGGAAUUCCAUGUGUAGCGGUGAAAUGCGCAGAGAUAUGGAGGAACACCAGUGGCGAAGGCGACUUUCUGGUCUGUAACUGACGCUGAUGUGCGAAAGCGUGGGGAUCAAACAGGAUUAGAUACCCUGGUAGUCCACGCCGUAAACGAUGAGUGCUAAGUGUUAGGGGGUUUCCGCCCCUUAGUGCUGCAGCUAACGCAUUAAGCACUCCGCCUGGGGAGUACGACCGCAAGGUUGAAACUCAAAGGAAUUGACGGGGACCCGCACAAGCGGUGGAGCAUGUGGUUUAAUUCGAAGCAACGCGAAGAACCUUACCAAAUCUUGACAUCCUUUGACAACUCUAGAGAUAGAGCCUUCCCCUUCGGGGGACAAAGUGACAGGUGGUGCAUGGUUGUCGUCAGCUCGUGUCGUGAGAUGUUGGGUUAAGUCCCGCAACGAGCGCAACCCUUAAGCUUAGUUGCCAUCAUUAAGUUGGGCACUCUAAGUUGACUGCCGGUGACAAACCGGAGGAAGGUGGGGAUGACGUCAAAUCAUCAUGCCCCUUAUGAUUUGGGCUACACACGUGCUACAAUGGACAAUACAAAGGGCAGCGAAACCGCGAGGUCAAGCAAAUCCCAUAAAGUUGUUCUCAGUUCGGAUUGUAGUCUGCAACUCGACUACAUGAAGCUGGAAUCGCUAGUAAUCGUAGAUCAGCAUGCUACGGUGAAUACGUUCCCGGGUCU
rnacentral:rRNA from 1 species